UAACGCUGGCGGCGUGCAUAACACAUGCAAGUCGAACGAUGAAACUUUAAUGAACCCUUCGGGGAGAAUUAAAGCGGAUUAGUGGCGAACGGGUGAGUAACGCGUGAGUAACCUGCCUUACACAAGGGGAUAGCCUUUGGAAACGAAGAAUAAUACCCUAUAAAACCAUAAAAGCACAUGCAAUUAUGGUCAAAGUAUUAGCGGUGUAAGAUGGACUUGCGUCUGAUUAGCUAGUUGGUGAGAUAAAAGCCCACCAAGGCAACGAUCAGUAGCCGGCUUGAGAGAGUGUACGGCCACAUUGGGACUGAGACACGGCCCAGACUCCUACGGGAGGCAGCAGUGGGGAAUUUUGCACAAUGGGGGAAACCCUGAUGCAGCGACGCCGCGUGAUUUAGAAGGCCUUCGGGUUGUAAAAAUCUUUUGUAUAGGAAGAAAAUGACAGUACUAUACGAAUAAGGUCCGGCUAAUUACGNGCCAGCAGCCGCGGUAAUACGUAAGGACCGAGCGUUGUCCGGAAUCAUUGGGCGUAA
rnacentral:rRNA from 1 species